rnacentral:rRNA from 1 species
UACGGAGGGUGCAAGCGUUAUCCGGAAUCACUGGGUUUAAAGGGUGCGUAGGCGGCGCAAUAAGUCAGAGGUGAAAGGCCACAGCUCAACUGUGGGACUGCCUUUGAUACUGUAGUGCUUGAAUUAGGCUGAGGUCGGCGGAAUGUGACAUGCAGCGGUGAAAUGCUUAGAUAUGUCAUAGAACACCAAUUGCGAAGGCAGCUGACUAGACCUUAAUUGACGCUGAGGCACGAAAGCGUGGGGAGCGAACAGG